rnacentral:rRNA from 1 species
CCGGAAAACCGUAGAGAUACCGGUCCCCCUUGUGGUCGGUGUACAGGUGGUGCAUGGCUGUCGUCAGCUCGUGUCGUGAGAUGGUUGGGUUAACGUCCCGCAACGAGCGCAACCUUGUCUUAUGUUGCCAGCACGUGAUGGGUGGGGACUCGUAAGAGACUGCCGGGGUCAACUCGGAGGAAGGUGGGGACGACGUCAAGUCAUCAUGCCCCUUAUGUCCAGGGCUUCACACAUGCUACAAUGGCCAGUACAGAGGGCUGCGAGACCGUGAGGUGGAGCGAACUACCCUUAAAGCUGGUCUCAGUUCGGAUCGGGGUCUGCAACUCGACCCCGUGAAGUCGGAGUCGCUAGUAAUCGCAGAUCAGCAACGCUGCGGUGAAUACGUUCCCGGGCCUU